UCCCUAAUGGCUCAGAUGGUAAAGAAUCUGCCUGAAAUGCAGGAGACCUGGGUUUGAACUCUGGUUUGGGAA
rnacentral:tRNA from 1 species